rnacentral:rRNA from 1 species
CUACGGGAUGCAGCAGUGGGGAAUAUUGCACAAUGGAGGAAACUCUGAUGCAGCAACGCCGCGUGGAGGAUGACACUUUUCGGAGCGUAAACUCCUUUUAUAUAGGAAGAAGAUGACGGUACUAUAUGAAUAAGCGCCGGCUAACUCCGUGCCAGCAGCCGCGGUAAUACGGAGGGCGCAAGCGUUACUCGGAAUCACUGGGCGUAAAGAGCGUGUAGGCGGAUUAAAAAGUCAGAAGUGAAAUCCUAUAGCUUAACUAUAGAACUGCUUCUGAAACUCUUAAUCUAGAAUAUGGGAGAGGUAGAUGGAAUUUCUGGUGUAGGGGUAAAAUCCGUAGAGAUCAGAAGGAAUACCGAUUGCGAAGGCGAUCUACUAGAACAUUAUUGACGCUGAGACGCGAAAGCGUGGGGAGUAAACAGGAUUAGAUACCCUUGUAGUC